GGAGCUCUGUGCUCUGUGCUUCCAGAUUUAUCCCAUGUGACUAAACAAAGCAGCUUGGGAGGAAUGAGCUUAUCCUCUUUUCCCAACCUGAUGGACUCAGUCACAUGGCAGCAAACCAGGUGGUAGACAACACGGAACCCCAGGACUCGUCGCUUUGGAAUUUGUUGUGCCUGAAAAAGUGAUAGCCAUUGGCACCUCUGUUAAUAGGCAAUAAAGCAUUGUAGUAAGAGUAUUGUCUGUAAGGAAGAAAAUACAAGAGCCAACGCUUGUAUUCUGGUGCUGCUGCUGCUAUGCGGUGGGUUUCCUUCCUGGGGGGUUUAGGUGUGGUUGGUGGUUUGGUGAUCACAGGAGUCUCAGUUGUUACUGGAACAAUCUGACAGUUGGGUUCUUCGCUGUUCAGGUCUCUGAGCCAUGAAACGCCAAAGGAACUGGAUCUCUUCCUCAGUUCUGCAGCAAAUAUAAAAAUAGAAAAUACAUGUUUUGUUUAAUUGCUUUUGCUUUGUCCAUAAUGCAAUAAUACUGAAACUAACAACCUUUAAUAGGACAACCCUCCUAUUAAAACAGUGCCACUGGCUGCUGAUAGGUUUCCGGUUCCAAUUCAAGGUACUGGUUAUCACCUAUAAAGCCCUAAAUGAUUCGGGUCCAGCUUAUCUUUGUGAUCGCAUUUCCUACUACGAGCCUGCGUGGUCUCUGAGCUCUGCUUGGGAGUCCCUCUCGCUUUCAUCUCAAACAUGGUUGGUGGGCAUGAGGGAGAGGACCUUCUUGCCAGUGCCCCCCCAGCUCUGGAACUCCCUCUUGAGAGAAAUUAAACUAGUCCCUACCCUGGCCACAUUCUGUAAAUAUCUGAAAAUCUGGCUAUUUAAAUGUGCGUUUGAUUACAUUGGCAUAAAUUGACAACUGUCCCUUACCUCCACCUAGACCCAGUUACUGCACUUCUUCUGGUCCAUUCAGUAGAGUUUUAUAAGAGAUUGAACACAGACAACAUUUGCCUUGCCCCCAAUGGAAUAUGUUUACUGCAGUUAUUGCUUGAGUCACUUAGGCGAUCCCUCGUAGUUCGAAGAUGAUUGUCUUCCAUCUCUGUUGAUUGGGGGUGUGUCCGUAGGUGGCUGAAGAGACCUAUUCUUGACCUGCAUGUUCUCUCGCAGUGAGGACAUUGGUUUCCAGGUGGAAGGCGGUCCCUGUCAGGGUUGGCUUGAUGGGCCUUCCUCUUGGCACAUUUCUCCCUUAAGCCCUCCAUUCGUGCCUCUUCGAACUCCUCAGCACUGCUGGUCACAGCUGACCUCCAAUUAGAGUGCUCAAGGGCCAGAGCUUCCCAGUUCUCAGUGUCUAUGCCACAGUUUUUAAGGUUGGCUUUAAGCCCAUCUUUAAAUCUCUUUUCCUGCCCACCAACAUUAUGUUUCCCGUUCAUGAAAUCGGAGUAGAUUAACUGCUUUGGGAGACGGUGAUCGGGCAUUUGGACAACGUGGCCAGUCCAGCAGAGUUGAUGUCGUAGGAGCAUCGCUUCAGUGCUGGUGGUCUUUGCUUCCUCAAGCACGCUGACAUUUGUCCGCCUGUCUUCCCAAGAGAUUUGUAGGAUUUUUCUGAGGCAACACUGAUGGAAACGUUCUAGGAGUUGAGUGUGAUGUCUGUAGACCGUCCAUGUUUCGCAGGCCUAGAGCAGGGUUGGGAGGACAAUGCCUUUGUAAACAAGCACCUUGGUAUCUCUACAGAUGUCCCGAUCCUCAAACACUCUCUGCUUCAUACGGAAAAAUGCUGCACUCGCAUUAUGUUUUAAUGUAUUAUAUGUUUUAUGUUUAUAUGUUUUAAAUGUAUUUAUGUGAUUGUAUUUGGUGUAUUGCUGGGCUUGGUCCCCAUGUGAGCUGCCCUGAGUCUCUUUGGGAGAUGGAGCGGGAUAUAAGAAUAAAGUUGUUAUUAUUAUUGUCGAGCCCCCA